UUAGAGGAAGUAAAAGUCGUAACAAGGUUUCCGUAGGUGAACCUGCGGAAGGAUCAUUAUUGAAAUAGCAUGACGAGUUGUCGCUGGCCUUUUUGACCGUGCACGCUCUGUCGUUCUUCAUUUCUCCAUCUAUUUGUGCACCUCUUGCGUAGACCUUUUCUGAGGGCUUCCUCGGGUCGUUAGGACUGCUUUGCAAAAAUUGAAUUUGUGGGCUUUCCUUGUCGCUACCACACAUACACCAGUGUAAUCGUUUAGAAGGAAAUGGAAUUUGAUGCAUAAUACAACUUUCAGCAACGGAUCUCUUGGCUCUCGCAUCGAUGAAGAACGCAGCGAAAUGCGAUAAGUAAUGUGAAUUGCAGAAUUCAGUGAAUCAUCGAAUCUUUGAACGCAUCUUGCGCUCCUUGGUUAAUCCAAGGAGCAUGCCUGUUUGAGUGUCAUUAAUGUCUCAACCACACCGUGAGGUGUGGCUUGGAUUUGGGGGUUACAGGCCUAGUCUGCUCCCCUGAAAUGCAUGAGUGGUAACGACCUCUCCAUUAAGAUGUGAUACAUAUCUGCAUCUGGUCGAGGGUUCUGCCGCUAUAUAAGAGUUGGAUUUGAUAAACUUGACCUCAAAUCAGGUAGGACCACCCGCUGAACUUAAGCAUAUCAAUAAGCGGAGGAAAAGAAACUAACCAGGAUUCCCUUAGUAACUGCGAGUGAAGUGGGAAGAGCUCAAAUUUGUAAUCUGGCGGCCUUUGGACGUCCGAGUUGUAAUCUAAAGAAGUGCUACCUGUGCUGGACCGUG
rnacentral:rRNA from 1 species